AACGAACGCUGGCGGCAUGCCUAACACAUGCAAGUCGAACGAGACCUUCGGGUCUAGUGGCGCACGGGUGCGUAACACGUGGGAAUUUGCCUCGGGGUAUGGAAUAACUCAGGGAAACUUGGAGCUAAUACCAUAUAAUGUCUUCGGACCAAAGAUUUAUCGCCCUGAGAUAAGCCCGCGUAGGAUUAGCUAGUUGGUGGGUAAAGGCUCACCAAGGCGACGAUCCUUAGCUGGUCUGAGAGGAUGAUCAGCCACACUGGGACUGAGACACGGCCCAGACUCCUACGGGAGGCAGCAGUGGG
rnacentral:rRNA from 1 species